UGGCUCCUGCACCGGGGGGUGGGAGCGGGGCCGUGCCCGGACCCCCGGAGGGGUGUGUGGAUAUGGAGGAGGAUGAGGAUGGUGAUGCCGAUGCCGCUCCCCGCGCCGAGGCACCCGAAGCCCCGGGAGUGUUUCGGCGCUGGCGGGGGGAUGUGGGGGAAGCGGCUCGGAGGCGGCAGCGGCGCGGCCCGACGGAGGUUUUGGUGGCUUGUCAUUACUGGAAGGAGAAGAUACCAUCAGCUACAGGAGUUGUUGUACUGUCCUGGUACCUAGAAGUGAGGAGGCAACAGUCUGACCAUGCACAGGAUUGGGACUUCUCCAUUUCCACAAAGUGAAUGGUCCUGAGCCAAGAGGAUUUGUCUCUGGAUGGUUUAUCUCUGCUGGCAUCUCUGGAGUCAUAAGCCCUCAUGGACUGGUGUGGAUUUUGGAUGCUCCCUUCUGUCUGUAGCUGGGAAUGUCAUGGCCAGAAGGCUGCAGGCACUUGCUUUUCUCACACUGGUGGAUUACUACCUUUGGCAUUAUUGUGCUAGUGCUGUGGUUUUUACUAAUCUGGUGGAACUGGCUUCGUUACACAAAGCUCCUGGUUGACAGUUGUGGAAAAGCAGCAGUUACAGCCCAAUGCUACAAUAUCCUUUCUAUUUCUGGGCUACUUACUCUGAGCGCUGUGGCUCUGGAGGAGGAAGGACUCCAUGCACACGUGUAGGACAAAUCCUGCUGGUCUCAGGGUCCAUGGUGAUGGCCUGGGGUGUGGGGACCUGAGAGGAGAUAGCCAAGGUGCUGCAUCACUGGUCGUGACCCAAACAACCAGGGGCACCUUCCCAAGGAUGGAGAGAGGUACAGCAGGGACCAGCAUCUCUCUGGGGAGUGAAGGAACAUCAGGGGCUGCUGUGGGCUCCUUCACACACUGCUGGAACCAGCUUCCCCACCAGCUGCCCUCUGUCCACUGCUGGGCUCCAUGUCCCCGGGUCAGAGAGGGGAGUUUCCUCCCAGAGCUGACCUUGCUCCAGACUCCCAUGUGGAGCCAAAAGGACUUAAUUAGCUGCUUUCCACCGAGCUUUGGAAAAUUAUCCUCUUGGCUGGGAAGUGCUGGUGAUGGAUGGUGAAGUGCUCUUGGGUCAAAUGGUGGCUUGAAGCUUUUCACUCUGAAGAACCAAGUGCCUGCCCAGUUCCAAGGAACAUGCUGUGGAUUUUUUAAUGAUUUUUUUACCCCUCUGCUCUUUAUGAUGCUUUUUGGGGUCUUGGGCUUUUUGUGAGGAUGAUUGGAUCCAGCCUGCAGCUCAAAGCACCAAUGCCUGUGGUGGGAGCUGGAGGGGUGAAGACCUUCAGAGGAGCUGUGGGUGGAAGCUGAGUUGGCCAUCGUGGUGCCCUGGGGUUUAAAACUGUCUGGCAGAGUCUCACCUUGUGCCAAGGGUGCUGGGUGGCCUUGUUGGGGGGUCCUUCUGCUGAGAGAGGCUGAGCACCCUUGGCCCGAGCACAUCCCAGGUGGGAGCAGCAGCAGGGGCUGCCAAACCGCAGCGAAGGGAACGUCAGGAUGGGGGGAAAAUGUCACCCUCAGAAACAAUUAAACUUCUUAAUAAAACC